AAAGUGGCGGACGGGUGAGUAAUGUGUAGAGAAUCUGCCCUAGAGUGGGGAGUAGCAGUUGGAAACGACUAUUAAUACCCCAUAUGCGCGUAGCUGAGAUGCUAUUCGUGAAAACUCCGGUGCUCUGGGAUGAGUCUGCAUCGUGAUUAGCUAGUAGGCGGUGUAAUGGACCACCUAGGCUACGAUCAGUAGCUGGUUUGAGAGGAUGAUCAGCCACAAUGGGACUGAGACACGGCCCAUACUCCUACGGGAGGCAGCAGUAGGGAAUUUUGCGCAAUGGGGGAAACCCUGACGCCAGCAACGCCGCGUGAAUGAAGAAGCCCUUCGGGGUGUAAAGUUCUGUCAGUGGGGACGAAACUUGACGGUACCCACAGAGGAAGCAUCCGGCUAACUCCGUGCCAGCAGCCGC
rnacentral:rRNA from 1 species